CAAUAGCGUAUAUUAAAGUUGUUGCAGUUAAAAAGCUCGUAGUUGGAUUUCUGGUUGAAGCGACCGGUCGGGCGUUGAUUCGUCUGCACUGGAGUCGGUUUUGGCCAUCCUCUAGGAAAGUGCGUCUGGUAUUAAGUUAUCGGGCGUAUGAUCCUGGUCUUUUACUGUGAAAAAAUUAGAGUGUUUAAAGCAGGCCUUCGCCUUGAAUACAUUAGCAUGGAAUAAUAAGAUAGGACUUUGGUCUAUUUUGUUGGUUUGCAGACCGAAGUAAUGAUUAAUAGGGAUAGUUGGGGGUAUUUAUAUUCCGAUGUCAGAGGUGAAAUUCUUAGAUUUUCGGAAGUUAAACUUAUGCGAAAGCAUUUACCAAGGAUGUUUUCAUUAA
rnacentral:rRNA from 1 species